rnacentral:rRNA from 1 species
UACGUAUGGAGCAAGCGUUAUCCGGAUUUACUGGGUGUAAAGGGUGCGUAGGUGGCAGUGCAAGUCAGAUGUGAAAGGCCGGGGCUCAACCCUGGAGCUGCAUUUGAAACUGCAUAGCUAGAGUACAGGAGAGGCAGGCGGAAUUCCUAGUGUAGCGGUGAAAUGCGUAGAUAUUAGGAGGAACACCAGUGGCGAAGGCGGCCUGCUGGACUGUUACUGACACUGAGGCACGAAAGCGUGGGGAGCAAACAGG